UGCUUACCGCGCUUGGUUCAGAUUUACUUUCAAUUACAUUUCUCCAUCUACCGCGCUUGGGUUCGUAUUUACUAUUUUACAUACAGACUGGAAUCUGCUUGUAUUAUCAUUAAUGUGAAGUAAUCAACCGGGAACCAGUUUACAUACUUUAUUCACAGAAUAAAACAUUUUGACCUGUUCAUAUGUUUAUUGUUAUUAAAUGGUAUCACCCCAAUGGUAUUUUGAGCUUUCACUUUGUUAUAUUUCUCAUAUUUAUUCUAGCUUUCACUUUUAUCUACGUAAUAAACAAAUAGAUCCGUUUUGACAUGGUUCUGGACUUUUCACACACCAAUGAUCAGCAAUCGCUAGAC
rnacentral:lncRNA from 1 species